GAACAGCGAGCUGCGAGUGCGCCACCAGUCCGCCAUCUUUCUUACCUUUUUGAUUGUUGACUUGUAAAUUUUGUAAUUAGUUUUUGCCGACGUCCACCGUGCCGUUUUUUAAGUAAUUUUUGGUAUUUUACAAAUUGUGUUACUUUAGUGGACACGUGGAGACAUGGACGCUGACUGUUGGAAGAAUUCGUCAAUUCAGACUGGCGCAAAGAGCUAUCAGGGCGCGAUGCCAGGAAUUUCAUUGCGAGACAGAAUUCGAAAUGAGGAUAUUCGCCAACGCAAUAAAGUUACCGACAUUGCAAAAAGGAUUAACUCAAGUGGGAAUGGACCGGCUAUAUUUUUCGCAGAGAUGACGAUCAAUGGGGUCGCCUAGUAUUGCUGUGGAGACCUAGCCUGGGUGGCCGAGGUGGCGGGAAACCACGAGCAGAUGGUCGGAUGACAUCAAAAAACGGCAGGGCCCACCUGGCACUGGCACAGAACCGCCACAUAUAGAACGGAGUGGAAACCCACGGAAUGCAGACCAGGAUCAUAUACUUUAGGUAUGAGUUUGUUACUUUUGCUCAUAAUAACAUGGAGUAUGUCACAGCUGCUCCACGGGCUGCAUUGAAGGGCAACAGGAGCGAAAAUGGAAAGGAGCUCCCCCUUUCAAUUAGAGAAUCUUAGGAUAUGCUAAGGCAAACAGAAGGAGGCAAGGAACGGGACUGCAUCAAUUGCUGUUUGGAACCAAUCUUGUGGGAUGACUUCUGGACAGGGAAAAAACAAUUUCAUCAUCUACCCUAAUACUGACGAAUGUUCUAAAACGUGCUGUAAGGCAGACAUUUCCAAAUGUAACGGAGGAAAGUUUCGAGACAUGUAAUGGUUUCAACACGCUGCUGAGACCCAACUCAAGAGACGUCAGUUUGUACUGUUUUGUCCAUUCUCUAUUGGGCAUGCUUGUAUGGAGAGGUAUAUAUAUUGGAGUACAGACAUGGUGUUUGGUAUGAGUAUUAUAUACAUCCUCUUGAGUCAAAGAGGACCGGUAGCCACUUUGAACUCCGUGUCCGAAAGGGUCAAAGUAUGGAGCUCCCGGUACUCAGAAAAAAAUUCUGGCCUAUUAGUUUUGAACUUUCGAGUCAAGUUUGGUGUCAUUUUUAUGUAAACUGUUCGCUUCAUUUUUAAAUUGAAGAAGAUUAAAAAUCACAGUAAUAUUAUUAAGGCAAAAGUUUGUGAGCAUACUGUGUUUGUUACUUCCUCACGCCACGCCCAAGUGCCUUAACAAAUAUUAUUUAUAAAAUUAAGUAUGGAGGAAGUAAGAUAUACCCUAAGUUAACACGUCGCUUCUUCUUGAUCGUGG